GAGCGUAACCCUACACCGUUUCAAUAAUUGGUUCAGCUCCAAAGUAAAUCUGGACCUGGUGAAGCCAUCAGCAAUGAUCCUGCAGGCUCACUUUUGUUUGCCGUCAAUGACAAGGAGAGAUCAUUAUUUCCUUCGUCUAAAAGUGAUAUCGAAGUUGCGAGGCAUUGAUCUUGCCAUGUCCCAGUUGCUCUGGUACUUUUGAAUGUCCUGCCGUCUUUAGUUCCAUUUGCUUGUCAAUCAGCGAAAAGGCAAUAAGAUAGGCGUUCAAUUUCUUGCAUCCUCUGUCUUAACUUGCGGCUGACCGGUGAUUCAGAAAGAGGAACUGUGUCCAAACUAUAUCUGGCCAUGAAAAUAUUUUCUGUU
rnacentral:misc_RNA from 1 species